rnacentral:rRNA from 1 species
AUUGAACGCUGGCGGCAGGCCUAACACAUGCAAGUCGAACGAGUGGCGGACGGGUGAGUAAUGUCUGGGAAACUGCCUGAUGGAGGGGGAUAACUACUGGAAACGGUCGCUAAUACCGCAUACCAUCAGAUGUGCCCAGAUGGGAUUAGCUAGUAGGUGGGGUAAUGGCUAACCUAGGCGACGCUCCCUAGCUGGGCUGAGAGGAUGACCAGCCACACUGGAACUGGGACACGGUCCAGACUCCGACGGGUGGCAGCAGUGGGGAAUAUUGCACAAUGGGCGCAAGCCUGAUGCAGCCAUGCCGCAUGUGUGAAGAAGGCCUUCGGGUUGUAAAGCACUUUCAGCGAGGAGGCGUUACUCGCAGAAGAAGCACCGGCUAACUCCGUGCCAGCAGCCGCGGUAAUAC